UACAGAGGUGGCAAGCGUUGUUCGGAAUUACUGGGCGUAAAGGGCGCGUAGGCGGCCUUCUAAGUCAGACGUGAAAUCCCCCGGCUUAACCUGGGAACUGCGUCUGAUACUGGAGGGCUUGAGUGCGGGAGAGGGAUGUGGAAUUCCAGGUGUAGCGGUGAAAUGCGUAGAUAUGCGGAGGAACACCGAUGGCGAAGGCAAUCCCCUGGGCCUGUACUGACGCUCAUGCACGAAAGCGUGGGGAGCAAACAGG
rnacentral:rRNA from 1 species